UGGACUUUGAUUGAUUUUGAUCAAAUUGAAAUGGGUAAAAUGAUAAUUUUACAAUUACCUCAUUUAAACAAAAAAUUAGAAAAAAAAAUAAAAUGAAAAUGACUUCUCCUUCCAGCCAACAGUCGAACGGCUAGCACACUGCUUUCUCAUCGAUGACUAAUCACUAUUGCUUACAACAGCCGUUGUCCCCACCAUAGCCCCAUCAUUCCUGCCCAAAUUCACAAUUUUUCCGUAAAUCGCCACUACCACAGUCGGAUGAUCGACAAAGCCACCACUAUCACACGCAACAGCCAAUCGUAAACCGCUGCCACCACAAUCAAACCAAAACCAACCAUUAAAAAUUAUUUUCACUACUAUACAACCCAACAUACUUUUACAAGGUUGAUAUUCCAGGGUUGGUAUGUGUUGUGAGGUGAAUAUUGGUGAGACAGAGACGACUGCAAAGAAGUUCAAAAUCCGGUAGGAGGAGAACGGAAAUUCACCAAUUCAAGAUUCUACGCGCCACUAGAGAACGGUGAAAAUAAGAGGCAGAAGAUGCAGGUAACUAUUUUGGUUUCACCUCCUCAUGAGCUUCGUCAUGCCUCUCGGCUCGUGCUUCUUGGUCUCUGGAGCCGACUUCGACGCGGCUGCUAAAGUCACCGUGUGAUGUGGCAAGCGAUGGCCGGAAAUAGCAGGUUUAGUUUGGGGGUGCGUGAGUUGUGGAAGAGAUGAUUUUUUAGUAUUUUCAUUUCUUUUCUAUUUUAUUUUAUUUUAUUUUAGGUUUUUUAAUUUUUUUUUUUAUGUAUAUAAUCAAAAAUUUACCAUUUUAUCCAUUUCAAUUUGGUUAAAAUCAG
rnacentral:lncRNA from 1 species